rnacentral:rRNA from 1 species
CGUUCCCGGGCCUUGUACACACCGCCCGUCAAGUCAUGAAAGUCGGUAACACCCGAAGCCAGUGGCCUAACCGUAAGGAAGGAGCUGUCGAAGGUGGGAUCGGUAAUUAGGACU